GGGAGGUGUAGUCCUCUGCCUUGGGCCCCGCGCCGGCUGGAGAGAGUAGAAAACUACUACUCCCAAAAUGCCUUUCGGGUGAGAGCAGCUUUCUGCUAGGACCCUGAGCCGGUGGGAGGAAGGCGACGGGGCGGGCUCUAGAAGGCAACCGGCUGCCACUAACGCUGCUGCCAGGAGAUCAUGGCUAGAGGAUUCGGGUUCCGAUCGUCUCCAGGAUAACUAGAUCCAGAUUCUCUCAAUUCCACCUGUCUCUCCCCCACUGGCUGAGAAGACAAGAAAAACAAGACCAUUACAAAUAUCUAUAGUCAAGCAAAACAAAUUCCCACAUUAGCUAAAUCUAAAAAGAAGAAAAGAAAAUGUGCAUCAAUUUGUUCUUCAAGUCUAUCAGCUCUCUGUCUGGAGUCCAUCUUCCACAGUGACCAAAGUGAUUUUCCUAAACUUCAGUUCUGACUGUGUUGUUUCCCAACUCAAUAAACUCUAAUGGUUCCUGAUUGCCUCAAGAAUCGAAUAGAAAAUCCUUUGACAAUUAAAGCUCUUCACAAGACCUGUAUGAACUGAUGAACAGUGAAGUGAGCAGAACCUGGAUUACAAUCUACACAGCAAUGUAAUUUUAUAAAGAUAAUCAAUUGUGAAAGACUUGGGAACUCUGAUCAAUGCAAUGACCAACCUUAAUUCCAAAAGACUCAUGAUGAAACAUGCUAUCUGUAGAGAAAGAGAUGGAGGACUAAUGGUUUCAGAGUGCAGAGUGAAGCUUAUUUUUUUCUCUUUUUCUUUCUUUUUUAAAAAACAUGACUAAUGCAUGACUAUACAUAUUUGCAAUGGGCUUUGUUUUCCUUAC